rnacentral:rRNA from 1 species
CAGCCGUAAACGAUGCGCGUUAGGUGUAUCGACGACCACGAGUCGUCGAGGUGCCGAAGGGAAACCGUGAAACGUGCCGCCUGGGAAGUACGGUCGCAAGGCUGAAACUUAAAGGAAUUGGCGGGGGAGCACCACAACAGGUGGAGCCUGCGGUUUAAUUGGACUCAACGCCGGAAAUCUCACCGGAUAAGACAGCAAUAUGUAGGCCAGGCUGAAGACCUUGCCUGAAUCGCUGAGAGGAGGUGCAUGGCGUAGACGUCU